rnacentral:rRNA from 1 species
CCUACGGGAGGCAGCAGUGGGGGAUAUUGCACAAUGGGGGGAACCCUGAUGCAGCGACGCCGCGUGGGUGAAGAAGCGCCUCGGCGCGUAAAGCCCUGUCAGCAGGGAAGAAAAUGACGGUACCUGAAGAAGAAGCCCCGGCUAACUACGUGCCAGCAGCCGCGGGAAUACGUAGGGGGCAAGCGUUAUCCGGAUUUACUGGGUGUAAGGGGGGCGCAGACGGCGAUGCAAGCCAGGAGUGAAAGCCGGGGGCCAAACCCCGGGAGGGCUGUUGGAACUGCGUGGCUGGAGUGCAGGAGGGGCAGGCGGAAUUCGUGGUGUAGGGGUGAAAGGAGUAGAUAUCAGGAGGAACUCCGGUGGCGAAGGCGGCAUGCCGGACGGCAACUGACUUUGAGGCCCGAAAGCGUGGGGAGCAAACAGGAUUAGAUACCCUUGUAGUC